rnacentral:rRNA from 1 species
UUUUUUUCCUGGAGAGAGACACCCUCAGUUUGAGCUCGGAGCCAGUUGACUGCGACUUCGUAGUGCUUGAUGGCGGCUAUUGAGGCCGCCAGCGGCAAGGGGCUACCUGGGGAGAAGCAGGAGGCAGGGGCGCCGACGCCGACGCCUCCCCCGCGGAGGCCGCCCCCUCUUAGACCGACACAAGACCGUGCUCCCGUACGACCGGGUGCUGCGGCCGGCGCCGCACAAGCUGAGCCCGGCGCUGGGCCCGAAGGAGCUGCACGAGCUGGUGGUGGGCCUCUUGCGGCUGGCGCAGGCGUUGUACCAGAGGUAGGAGGCGGCGCCCGGGUAGCGCGGGAAGGAGAGAACCGUGAGGCCGUGGGGGCGGGUGCGGUCGCUCGAGUAGAGGAAGGUGAGGGGUCUUAUGUAACUCCUCGAGCACGUCCGUUUACGGUCACCUGGGUUCUUCAAUACACUCCCGUGAAAGAACUUGGGACCAAGUACCCCACGACGCGAAGACCGACGGCCUUGUUGGAAUAGUCGAUACUCCGUGUAUGAUCUACCCGUACCCUUCUAUCGGAUGCGUAACCAGGCGGGGGGACCGGUAGUGCGCGUUGGCCUGGUACGACUGCCAAUGACGAAAGACUUGUUACGGCCUGAACGCCACGUGGACCGAAACCUAAGACCGGCGCGUUUCCAACGGCAACAACUGUAUCUGCACGUGAUACCUUUACCAUGACGUCUCCCGAAGAUAGCGUGCCUGUUACAUAACUGUUAGAGAGAAGUGUACUUCGUACCAUGAACCCCAGGAAGCGUAGACGUCUCACCGAGCAGACUACUCUAACCCCUUCCGUUCCCCGAACCCAUGUUAGAGUUAUAUGGAAACGGAUUACCGUCACCCCUAUUUCCGAUGCUCAUACGUUACUUACUUAAUCAACAGGGCCGCUAACUGUUCAAAUUUGGAGUCGAAAACCAAAAACAGUAACCGGUUCUAAGAUCGUACAAACUGGGUUUACCUUCUGUCACGAACUGGUACCUACCGAUAUCCUUUCAACCUGUUUAUUACUCCUCGGACCGAUUAGUCGUAUCGCUACCCGUUUAUAACUAACAGGUCCUUCCCCCAAUGGUGUAGUCAAUGAGUCGUAUGACAGACGUACGCUGUGAUCUUCCACAAGACUUAGAACUUCGGGGCAACGACCUACUGGGUUAGCGUAUAAUAGGUCUCCUACUCUUUAUGUGGUACUUUCAACAGCUGCAGUACUUCUUUACGACCUUUCUUAGGUAAGGGAAGAACUUCCUGUAAAUCUUUGCGCAUGCAGAGAAGUUGUGUCGCCGUCGCUAAGAGUUAAGACUUAGCACAGUACGAGAUGUAAAUAUCGGAAGACGACUGGCGUUUCCCAGACAAAUAACCUCGUUGAACUUUUACCUACGUGGAAGGGAGUUGGGGACUAAGGGCAUAUCCAAACGACGCACUAAACUAAACAUUACCAUAAACAACGAAUACCAAGUCUACUUAUAAGUCUGAAAAAGAAAAAGAAAAUUCUCCCUCUCCUACUUUAGUCUGGAAAACGAACUCGUCAAACUAGCGUCCAGCGUCAUCUUCUUCAGGCGUCUGUAGAAAUGCGGUUGAUCACCGUUUCAGAACUAGCAGAUCAUUCCCUACAAUCGACAAUGGGC